CGCGUUACACGUACGUGCAAAGCGCCAACUUAAUGUGUUCCGCCAUUUUGCUUGUUGGUUGCCGAUAAAAUGCGCAUUUACAGAUUUUUUUACGCUCAGUCAUUAUCCAUGACUGAAACAUUGACCAAU